rnacentral:ribozyme from 1 species
CAAAAAGAGGGACAGGAUAUAUAUAUAUCCCCAGGGAAGUUCGGGGAUGGGGCGAUAUGAGCACCCGGCCAGGAUUGAGCCUCGUCGGCUCAAGGGGCUUUUGGGGUUUGCCAACAAGGCCCCCGAGGAGUUUAGGGGUCGGCGUCUCAAAUAAGGCCCAAGAGAGGAGGAAGA